UACGUAGGUCCCGAGCGUUGUCCGGAUUUAUUGGGCGUAAAGGGAACGCAGGCGGUCUUUUAAGUCUGAUGUGAAAGCCUUCGGCUUAACCGGAGUAGUGCAUUGGAAACUGGGAGACUUGAGUGCAGAAGAGGAGAGUGGAACUCCAUGUGUAGCGGUGAAAUGCGUAGAUAUAUGGAAGAACACCAGUGGCGAAAGCGGCUCUCUGGUCUGUAACUGACGCUGAGGCUCGAAAGCGUGGGGAGCAAACAGG
rnacentral:rRNA from 1 species